GACGAACGCUGGCGGCAUGCCUAAUACAUGCAAGUCGAGCGAACAGAUGAAGUGCUUGCACUUCUGACGUUAGCGGCGAACGGGUGAGUAACACGUAAGGAAUCUACCUAUAAGCGGGGGAUAACAUUCGGAAACGGGUGCUAAUACCGCAUAAUAUCUCCUUCCGCAUGGAAGAAGAUUGAAAGACGGCUCUGCUGUCACUUAUAGAUGACCUUGCGGUGCAUUAGUUAGUUGGUGGGGUAACGGCCUACCAAGACGAUGAUGCAUAGCCGACCUGAGAGGGUGAUCGGCCACAUUGGGACUGAGACACGGCCCAAACUCCUACGGGAGGCAGCAGUAGGGAAUCUUCCGCAAUGGGCGAAAGCCUGACGGAGCAAUGCCGCGUGAGUGAAGAAGGCCUUCGGGUCGUAAAACUCUGUUAUAAGAGAAGAACAAAUUGUAGAGUAACUGCUACAGUCUUAACGGUAUCUUAUCAGAAAGCCACGGCUAACUACGUGCCAGCAGCCGCAGUAA
rnacentral:rRNA from 1 species